rnacentral:rRNA from 1 species
CAGUCGCCGCGGUAAUACGAAGGGGGCUAGCGUUGUUCGGAUUUACUGGGCGUAAAGGGCGCGUAGGCGGACUGAUAAGUCAGGGGUGAAAUCCCAAGGCUCAACCUUGGAACUGCCUUUGAUACUGUUUGUCUUGAGUUCGAGAGAGGUAAGUGGAACUGCGAGUGUAGAGGUGAAAUUCGUAGAUAUAUGGAGGAACACCAGUGGUGAAGGCGGCUCACUGGACUGGUAUUGACGCUGAGGUGCGAAAGCGUGGGGAGCAAACAGGAUUAGAGACCCCCGUAGUCCCUGUCUCUUAUAU